AGGGAAUCUUCCACAAUGGACGCAAGUCUGAUGGAGCAACGCCGCGUGAGUGAAGAAGGUCUUCGGAUCGUAAAGCUCUGUUGUUGGUGAAGAAGGAUAGAGGCAGUAACUGGUCUUUAUUUGACGGUAAUCAACCAGAAAGUCACGGCUAACUACGUGCCAGCAGCCGCGGUAAUACGUAGGUGGCAAGCGUUGUCCGGAUUUAUUGGGCGUAAAGCGAGCGCAGGCGGAAUGAUAAGUCUGAUGUGAAAGCCCACGGCUCAACCGUGGAACUGCAUCGGAAACUGUCAUUCUUGAGUGCAGAAGAGGAGAGUGGAACUCCAUGUGUAGCGGUGGAAUGCGUAGAUAUAUGGAAGAACACCAGUGGCGAAGGCGGCUCUCUGGUCUGCAACUGACGCUGAGGCUCGAAAGCAUGGGUAGCGAACAGGAUUAGAUACCCUGGUAGUCCAUGCCGUAAACGAUGAGCGCUAGGUGUUGGGGACUUUCCGGUUCUCAGUGCCGCAGCAAA
rnacentral:rRNA from 1 species